rnacentral:rRNA from 1 species
CUUGUACACACCGCCCGUCAAAUCACGAAAGUCGGUAAUGCCUGAAACCAGUUUAUUAACCCGCAAGGGAGAUGGCUGACAAGGGUAGGAUUGGCAAUUGGGAUU